GACGAACGCUGGCGGCGUGCCUAAUACAUGCAAGUCGAACGCAGUUGGGACGGGUGAGUAACACGUGGGUAACCUCCCAUCAGAGGGGAUAACACUUGGAAACAGGUGCUAAACCGAUACUGAUGGAUGGACCCUCGGUGCAUUAGCUAGCGGGUGAGGUAACGGGUCACCAAGGCCACGAUGCAUAGCCGACCUGAGAGGGUGAUCGGCCACACUGGGGCUGAGAGACGGCCGAGACUCCGACGGGCGGCAGCAUUAGGGAAUGUGCGGCAAUGGACGAAAGUCUGACCGAGCAACGCCGCGGGAGUGAGGAAGGUUUUCGGAUCGUAAGGCUCUGUUGUUAGAGAAGCGGUAUCUAACCAGAAAGCCACGGCUAACUACGUGCCAGCAGCCGCGGUAAUAC
rnacentral:rRNA from 1 species